UGAUAUCCUGUAAUUAGUUUC
rnacentral:piRNA from 1 species